GAUCAGGAGUCCUUUUCUCCUUUAAAAUGUGUUACUGUACAGCUGAAAGAUAAUGUUUCACAAUCAGAACAGAAGCCGGGUUUUUUUCCUCAACAAGCAUCGAGAAUGAUAAUAGUAAAAAUGAUAUUAAAAAAAGUUUUCUCAACUUCACAUUCCGCCUUCAGUUCCAGACUCCAGUCACCGUGAUCAGUCCAGGGACAGCCAUCAUGGACUCAGAGGUUCUGUGAAAGGUUUGCUGUUGACUAAUCCAGGUGAAAAUCAAACUCAUCUUUGUCCUCAUCGGGUAUCCUUGCCGGCUCUGCACACAAUAAGCUCUUAAUAAAUACAACUGACUGACCAACUGGAGAGGUGGAACGACUCAGGGCUGAGCACCAGAAAGCCCACCCUAGAGUGGGGUAGUCAGCAUUGCUCUAACCCAGUUGUAUCUCAGUUUACCCCCUCAGGAAGGAAGGGGAGGUUGGCAUGUCUGUUUCACCCUUGAGCCCAGCAUGGGGUGGGUUUUGUAGCGAGCCACUGCUGAAUG